UCGACUCGGUGGUGCUGUACAGCCCGCGCGUGUUCCAGAAAGCCGGCAUCCGCUCCGACUCCAACUCCCUCGGUGCCACCGUCGCCGUCGGCUUCACCAAGACCGCCUUCAUCCUCGUCGCCACCUUCCUCCUCGACCGCGUUGGCCGCCGCCCACUCCUCCUCACCAGCGCCGCCGGCAUGGUCGCCUCCCUCCUCACCCUCGCCUGCGCCCUCCGCAUUAUCGACGAUCGCACCCACGACCACAGCGACGGUCACGGGAGUGCUGCUGCGGCGGUGGCGAUCGCGGCGGUGCUCAGCUUCGUGGGGUCGUUCUCGAUCGGGCUCGGCCCAAUCGCGUGGGUGUACAGCUCGGAGAUAUUCCCGCUGCGGCUGCGGGCGCAGGGGGCCAGCAUUGGGGCGGGUAUGAACCGGGUCAUAAGCGGGGUGAUAAUCAUGACCUUCAUCUCGCUCUACAACGCCAUCACCAUCUCGGGAAGCUUCUUCCUCUACGCGGGGAUCGCAGCGGUGGGGUGGGUGUUCUUUUAUGUCUUCUUGCCGGAGACGCGGGGGAGGAGCUUGGAGGACAUGGAGGUGCUGUUUGGGAAGAAGAGAGUGGAGGAGAACGAGAAGGAGAAGGAGGGAGGACAGAAGGGUGUGGUGGAGAACAAGGGAGAUGCUGAGGGUGAAAGUCAAGAGAACAAGUGUUAAAGAAGAAAAUUUGGGAUAUUGUUAGUAAUUUGUGGUGUGUGAUGCUUUAAUUAUUGGUAAAAGUAGUUAGGAUAAACUCAGCUAGUAUUUGAUACGGAAUUUGAUAGAAAGCUAUUAUGGAUGUGAAAAUUUAGCAUAAAUAUUUAUAUUUCAAUAUGUAUUUUAAAAAAUAAAAAUUAAAUAUGAAUGUGAAUAUGAUUUUUUUAAAAAAAAUCGAUUAUAUGUUACUAUUUUCGUAAGCUUUCUAUUGUAUUCUAUGUUUAUUUUUUUUUUUUGAUUUUUCUGAAAAAAUAAAAAAGACAUACAAUGACUUCUAAGUUCUAACCAGAAACUUUUUUAUUUAGUUUUUUUAGAUCUUUUGGCUGCAAAAAAUGAAAAAGAAAAAGAGCAUAUAAUGAUUAAUAGCUAGAGAAAUACGAAUUCUACAAUUCAAAAAGAAUUGGAAUAUUACAGAUAGCAUUAUUUUUUUUUAAAAAAGAAAGAAAGAAGAUAUAAUGGCCCUCAGGUUGACCCAAUUCUUUUUAUUUCAAAGAUAAUAAGGUUUAGUUAGUCCUUUCUUAAUUUCUGUAUUAAAAACCUAAUAAGACUAGUAUAAAUUUUAUGGUCCUUAAAUAAUAGUGCCAUGGGGUUAGCGCCAACCAGUGAUGGUGCAGGUUAACCAACGAUUACAGGAGUUCCCAUUCCUCUUGAUUUAUUUGUUCGCAGGUAGAGAAUAAAAAUUUUAUUAGGACCAUUUCAUGGUGAGAUUGUGAGAUCUAAAUAGUGCUAUAUAUAAGAUAUAAUAUGGCUAAAAAUUUUUAACUCGGUUUAAACAUUUUGUAUAUUGAUUAGGUCCAAGAGGUUAAGAGAGUUAAGUGUGUUAGGACGGAACUAGUCCUUGAAUGGAUGACCGGCCCCUUGGAAAGUUAGGGCAUCACAGUUGAUUUCGGAGCUAAUUACCAGCUGAAAGUGUGAGAUAAGUCUCCACUGAGUCAGAAUUAUACAGCGGGGAGAGUAAGGCUCACAUGCUAUUGACUAUUGUGGAUAGAGCGUGGCUCUCCUACAAGGUCGGUUUAGGCUAGCAAGACGAGUCUCAUAUUGCCUAAUAUUAAUUUGUGAGUCUAAAUCUGACGAUGACGUCAGGUGACUCCCUUACAAGGUCGACUUAGGCUAGCAAGAUGAGUCUCAUAUUGCCUAGUACUUGUGAGUCCGAACCUGACGAUGACGUCAGGUGGCUCCCCUAUAAGGUCGAUUUAGGCUAGCAAGACGAGUCUCAUAUCGCCUGAUACUUGUGAGUCUGAGACUGACAAGGAAGUUAAGGGUCUCCCCCAUAAGGUCGAUUUAGGCUAGCAAGACGAGCCUCAAAUCACUUGAUACUUUUGUGUCUGAGCUUGACGAGAACGUCAGGGCUUAAAGGGAGGAGAAUGUGAGACCCCAGAUAGUUCUAUAUAUAAGAUAUAAUAGGGUUAAAAACUUUAACCCAGCUUAAACAUUUUGGAAGGCGGCUAGACCCAAGAGGUUAAGAGAGUUAAGCGUGCUAGAUCGGGAGUAGUUUUAGGAUGUGUGACCUCUUGGGAAGUUGAAGCGUCACAGUUCUAGGUAAUUCUAUAUAUAAGAUAUAAUAGGGUUAAAACUCUUAACCCGGCUUAAAAAUUUUGAGCAAUGGCUAGGUCCAAGAGGUUAAAAGAGUUAGGUAUGCUAGGAUCAGAGUAGUCCUAGGAUAAGACCUCUUGAAAGUUGGGGCAUCAUAAUUGGUAUCAAAGCCAAUUACCAACCGGAAGUGUGAGACGAGUCUUGACCGUGCCAGAAUUAUACAGCGAGAAGAGCGAGACUUUUAUACUGUUGACUGUUGUGGGCAGAGCACGGCUCUCCUAUAAGGUCGGUUUAGGCUAGUGAGAUGAGUCUCACAUCGUCUUGUACUUGUGCGUCUAAACCUGACGAGGAUAUCAGGACUUAAAGGGGGAGAAUGUGAGAUCCCAUGUAAUCCUAUAUAUAAGAUAUGAUAGGGCUAAAACUCUUACCUGGCUUAAGCAAUUUGAGCGGUGGCUAGGCCCAAGAGGUUAAAAGAGUUAAGCGUGCUGGGAUGGGAGUAGUCUUAGCAUGGAUAACCUCCUAAAAAGUUGGGGCAUCAAAUAAGGUUAAGAGAACAAAGCGUGCUAGAACAUGAGUAGUUCUAGAAAAGAUAACCCCUUGGGAACGUCACAGAGAUCAUGAAAUUUAUUGUGCAGUGCUAUACGUAAUGAUUGGAAAAAAUACAUAAAUACGCUACAUAUGAUGUCCACAAAGUUAGGGCUUUGGAAAUUACCGUGGCAUGCGUUGCAAAAGGUUUGACGUAUCAGAGAUUUUGAUGAAAAAGAUCCAAUUGACCUAACUAAGAAAAGAACUCAAUUGAAAGUUUGACACAUGAGUAAAAAGUCAGAGAUCUAAUGGCAAUAAUUGAAAGAUCAAGAAAUUAAUAAAAAAUUUUGGUAAUAGAAAACAAAAAGCUUAAUGACGGAAUUAGGUGGUCAAGGGAUCAAUUACCACUCGAAUAAAGGUUGUAAGUACAGGUUGGAGACCUCUUGUGCAAUUUACUUUUAUUUUAUACAGUAUGAGAGUAGGAGAUUCCAAGUUUAAAUAUGUUUCAUGCCAUGAAACAAAAAAUCUGUAAAAGAUUAAGAUGCUAAAAAAAAAGAUAUUUUUAACAUUUGUAUUUAGAAAUGUCGUUUUCACAUUCAUCUCAUAUAGCUUCAAAUCAAAAUGAGUUACCAAAGAUAUAUAUGAUAAUUCUCAACAAAUUCCUUUUGCACACUGGAGAGAAGGUUUUAUGAUAAUUAAUGCAUUCCUUCUAAGUGAAAUCUUUGACAACAAAUUUAGCAUUAUAUCAUUCUAUAUUAUCUAAAGAGUCUCUUUUGGUUUUGAACACCCAUUUACAACCAAUUACUUUUACUCGUGGUAACUCAACAAGAUCUCAAAUUUUGUUAUCUGUCAUAGGUUUCAUCUCUUCCUUUUAGGCAUCAUACCAAAGGGAGGAUUUAUCUCUCUGCAUGACAUAUGAAAAUAUUCAUGGGUUUUUAUAGUGUCCAACACAUCAUAGCCAGACUCCUGAAAAUAGACUAUAUAAUCAUUAAAAAUUACUGAUCUCUUUUGUCUUGAUAAUCUUCUUAAACUAACCUCUUUCUGCAGAUUUUUUUUUUUUAUUAUUCUGUGCAGUUAGUUUUAUAAUUGUCUGUUUCUUUUGAGACAGCUUUUCAUGGAAAGGUUCAACUGGUUCAGUAUUUUUAUACUUUAGAAUUAGUUAGUCUCCAGUAUGAUCAAAUUAAUCUCUUGGGAGAGCAAUUAAAUCAUUAUCUAUUAAUAGAUAACCAGUAAGUCCUUUAUUUUAUCAAAAUUCAUCUUUUGAGAAACAACACUUCCACUUGUUUUAAAAUUUUUACGAAAUUUGGCAUUUCAAACAUCAACUAUCUUAAAUGAGUGAUUUAGAUAAUAAAACCUGAAUCCUUUCGAGUUUAACGCAUAGCCAACGAAAUAUCUACUGACUAUUCGAAAAUCGCUGUGAAAUAUAUUAAAGAGAACUAUUAGGAACGACCAUUAUGGCUGUGAAAUUAUUAUUUUAUUUUUUUAAAUAUAUUUUUCUAUUGUUACCAAUUUUUUUAUUUGUCCUUAAGUUAGGGACAAUAAAAGUAUUUUAAUUCUUUGCCCUUUCAAAUAUAUCUUCUAUCGUCGCCAAAUUUUUUUAUUUAACCUUAAGUUAGGGACAAAAAAGGUAUUUUGACUUUUUUUAAACUCCGAUAAAAAUUUAAUCUGGAUUUACCGAGAUGACUAAUUAAUAGAUACUAACAACAUAGUUAUUUUUAAAUAACGAAAAAAUAUACGAGAUAUGUACAAAAAAAGUACUAUCUAGGAGUUUAUAAUAUAUAUUAAAAAUUAUAUAGGUAUAUAAAUAAUUUUUUCUAUAAAAUAAUAAAAGUACUAUUCAUACAUUCAGAAGGAAUGUAUAUUAUGUAUCUUGCUUAUCUAAAGAGCGAGAUUUUUUUACUUAUGGUAUGGUAUGACAAGCGAAAAAUAUUCCACCAACCACCUUAGUCAAUCAUAUACACUGACAUGUGGGGUGUAUGAAUAGCUUUGUUUCAAACAGAAUAUACAUCGAAAAUAGGUUUCGUACGUCAAUCAUAUACUUUGACUUGUCGAGUGUAUGGAUAGCUUUGUUUCAAAUAAAAUAUAGAUCGAAAUAGGUUUCGUACAGGACCAAACCGCCAAGUUUAGAGUCUUUUUUGUUAUUUUGUUAUUUAUUUAUUUUUGGAUCCGUACCAUUAACACGAUUUGUCCAUUUUAAAAGUCUCCCUAUUAAUUGUCUCCACACAUUUGGAGAUUAGAGAGACUAGCCAACCACCCUAGAACUCCAUGGACUUGGUCCAAAGUUUUCCUUUUGUAGGUCCUAUACAUGCACAUAUUGAUCCUUUUCGUUUUGAGAUCGGUGUUCAAUCUUAAAAAGGGACCAAUUGGCUUAAGUAGUGAUGGCAUAACUUCAUCGUUCUAUGGUUUGCUUCAUCUUUUAUCUAAUUUAUCCUCCUCAGUUAUCUACAAAUCGGCUAUUAUUUAAAAUAUUUACUUAUGUUUAAUGAAAAAUAAUAAUAAAAAUGGAUGUUAUAAAAUAACUUGUUAGGAGACUCAUUCAUUCCAAAUCACAUGGACUCGGGCUGCAGUUCACUGUGGUCUUGGUCCAGUAGAACUAUAUACUCCUCCUUCCAAAUCACAUGGACUCUUUUCCACUAAUAUUACACACCAUCAAAUUUGACUAGUGACAUAUAGGCAUCUCCAUUCACUCCCUCCCCUCACGAGGAAUUCUACACUGUCACACUUGCACCACGUCAUCAAUAACAAGCCAAUCACAUUUCUUCUUUUUAAACAAAAGUACAAUAAAAAUACUUUUUUACAAUCAUGAUGGGACAUAUAUUCUUAAAAGGAUUAAUUUGAUUGGUUUGUUACGCCACGUCACUAAUAUACCCGUUGCAUUCUAGAAUUUUUCCUCCCCUCACACUACUCUCUCUCUCCCUCUUUCUCUCUCUCUCUCUCUCUCUCUCUCUCUCUCUCUCUCUCCUCUCCUCCCAAAAACAAUGGAGGAGAAGAACCCAAAAACACAACUCACCACCACCACCAGCAUCACCUCCACUCCUCCGAAAAGUACUGCUCCAUCCAUGGCCAGCUUGGAUAUUAAGCCCCGGAGAAACAACUACGCACUCGCCUGCGCCAUGCUCGCCUCCACAACCUGGAUCCUCUGCGGCUACGGUAACUAAUUCUAACACCAUUAUUAAUUACCCUACUUUUCUUUUCUAAAAAAGAAAAUAAAAAAAAAAGGAGUAAGACAGCAAUUUGCAUGCAUGAUGCGAUUGUUUGCUUUGGUUUAUAGACGUCGCAGUGAUGAGCGGGGCGCAGCUCUUCAUCAAGAAGGACCUGAAGGUGACGGACACGCAGAUCGAGAUCCUGGCGGGGGUCAUCAACCUGUUCUCGCUGCUGGGGUCGCUGGCGGCGGGGCGCACCUCGGACUGGAUCGGGCGGCGCUACACCAUCGUGCUGGCGGCCGCCAUCUUCUUUGCGGGGGCGCUGACGAUGGGCCUCGCCUCCGGCUACGCCGUGCUGAUGGCCGGCCGCUUCGUGGCGGGGGUCGGGGUCGGGUACGCGGCCGUGAUCGCGCCCGUGUACACGGCCGAGCUCUCGCCCGCGGCGUCCCGCGGCACGCUCACGUCCUUCCCGGAAGUGUCCGCCAACUUCGGCAUCCUCCUCGGGUACGUGGCCAACUUCGCCUUCGCGAAGCUGCCCCUCCGCCUCGGCUGGCGCGCCAUGUUCCUCGCCGGCGCCGUCCCGCCCGUCUUCCUCGCCGCCGCGGUGCUCGCCAUGCCGGAGUCCCCCCGCUGGCUCAUCAUGCAGGGCCGCCUCGACGACGCGCGCCGCGUGCUCACCAGGACCACCGGCGGCCCGGAUGAGGCCGAGCUCCGCUUACAGGUGCGUCCACCCAUGUGAAACUAUAGUUCAUCUUUAAUAAAUUUUUUUAUUUUUCAUUUCUUUAAUCAGGCAGUGUGUGUUUUCUAAAAGAAGGGUAAAAAAUUAUUUUUGGAAUUUUUUUUUCUAAAUAUUUUCUGAAGUAAAACAAAAAAAAAGAAAAGAAAAAAAUCCCGCUAAUUUUAUGUAAUAUUGAGCAACGCCGCCAGGAGAUAAAAGAGAGCCUGGGCGAGCACGCGAAGCGCAGGCGCGGGGAGGGGGUGUGGCGGGAGCUGCUGGUGCGGCCGACGCCGUCGGUGCGGCGGAUCCUGCUGGCGGCCCUCGGGCUGCAGUUCUUCCAGCAGGCGUCGGGCAUCGACUCGGUGGUGCUGUACAGCCCGCGCGUGUUCCAGAAAGCCGGCAUCGGCUCCGACUCCAACUCCCUCGGCGCCACGGUCGCCGUCGGCUUCACCAAGACCGCAUUCAUCCUCGUCGCCACCUUCUUCCUCGACCGCGUUGGCCGCCGCCCGCUCCUCCUCGCCAGCGCCGGCGGCAUGGUCGCCUCGCUCCUCGCCCUCGCCUCCACCCUCCACGUUAUCGGCGAUCGUGCCCACGACCAC
rnacentral:lncRNA from 1 species